rnacentral:rRNA from 1 species
UACGUAGGGUGCGAGCGUUGUCCGGAAUUAUUGGGCGUAAAGGGCUCGUAGGCGGUUUGUCACGUCGGGCGUGAAAACUCAGGGCUCAACCCUGAGCGUGCGUUCGAUACGGGCAGACUAGAGGUAUGCAGGGGAGAACGGAAUUCCUGGUGUAGCGGUGGAAUGCGCAGAUAUCAGGAGGAACACCGGUGGCGAAGGCGGUUCUCUGGGCAUUACCUGACGCUGAGGAGCGAAAGCAUGGGGAGCGAACAGG